GGACGCGGGCCUGGCUGUCCCCAGAGUCACAGCACCCGGGGCCUUGGGAGCCGCGGAGCGGGGGCGGAGUUGAGGGUCCUUGUGGACCGGGGAGAUGGCGGUACCUCUCCGCCCGUGUGACUGCCAGCAUGUGUCUCCACAGCGCCACGGGCUCCUGGGGACGGUCCCCACUGUCACAGCACAGACGAUAGGUAGAUGAUGGACAGAUGCCAGGAGCACCCCUCUGGUUUAUGGACCCCGACACUGUCCCACAUGAAUACAAGCGUUCACAGCGCUAUCAUCCCCCCGGGAAAAUCCAUGAUGUCCCCUAGCCCAGCGCUGCUCCCUGCACGCUGUAUGCUUUGGGGUAACCCGAUCCUGGAGAGGUUUGUCUUUGAGGUUCUGGGGGCCCGGCA